UUUUUUAACAAUUGAAUGGAAACUCCUAUUUAUACUAAACCUAAAAACUAGGUAAAUAUUGGGCAAAAGUCAAGUAUAAUCUCCAAAAUAUGGAAAAGAAUCAAAAUCUAACAAAAUAUAGAAAAUUGCCAAAAUUGGAAAAUUCGCCAAAUUUUUGGCCUAUGCGGCCGCAUGGUGUAAAUCCAUGCGGUCGCAUGGUUCAACUGAAAUUGCACUUUUGGUUUUCGUGUGCAUUUGUGUGGCCGCAUGUGGUUUUGCCUGUGCGGCCGCAUGGUGUUGUCUUCAGCCUCCGCUUUCGUCGCUUGGUAACAAAUUGAUCCAAGUUGAUUCGGCCUUCAAGCCGAAUAUGAAAGUUGCUCCAUUUUGAGUCCCGAAUAUGGUUCCAUCAAUGGUUUCUUGAACGAGCAAUCCCAUCGCUUGUUUCACUUGCUUUGCCCUUGAUCGCGUCAUUGGUCCACCAUCGACUAUCAACGGGUCUCGUCUCGCAUUUGCCUUCGUCGGGCUCGAUUCCUGAAUCAUAUCAUCCCCUCCCUCUUCAAAAGGAUUCAUCCUCGAAUCUAAACCUGCAUCAAACAGAGAGAGAUCAGAUACAUUAAAAGUAGCCAAAAUAUUGUACUCACCUGGAAGGUCCAACUUGUAAGCAUUGUCGUUUAUCUUUUCAAUCAUUUGAAAUGGACCAUCGCCCCUUGGUUGCAACUAGGACUUCCUAUGCUUUGGAAACCGCUCUUUCCUAAGGUGCACCCAAACCCAAUCCCCUGGCUCGAAUGUCACGCACUUUCUACCUUUGUUCACCUGCAACGCAACCAACUUACUUUUGUUUUCAAUUUGCGCUUUUACCUUUUCAUGGAGUGACUUAAUCAAUUCCGCCUUCUUUUUGCCAUCUAGACUAACACAUUCAUUCACAGGUAAAGGAAUUAAAUCCAAAGGAGUUAGUGGAUUAAAAUCAUCUACAAUUUCAAAUGGAGAAUAUAAUGUAGUAGAGUGAACAGCUCGAUUGUAUGCAAAUUCAACAAAUGGUAGACACUCCUCCCAACUCUUCAAAUUUUUAUUGAUUACUGUGCGUAACAAUUGUGUCAUAGUCCUAUUCACUACCUCGUUCUGCCCAUCUGUUUCUGGGUGGCAAGUUGUGGAAAAUAGUAAUUUAGUGCCUAACUUACCCCCACAAACUCUCCAAAAGUGGCUCAAAAAUUUGACAUCCCGAUCCGACACUAUGCUUCUAGGAAACCCAUGUAAAUGCACAACCUCUUUAAAGAAUAAGUCAGCAAUGUUCGUGGCAUCGUCAAUUUUGUGUUAUGGUAUAAAAUGUGCCAUUUUGCUGAACCUAUCUACAACCACAAAAAUAGAAUCCCGACCUCUCUCAGUCCUAGAUAAACCCAAAAAAAGUCCAUCGAGAUAUCAGCCCAAGGCUCACUAGGUGUAGGUAAAGGUGUGUACAAACAUUGUGGUAAAACCUUAGAUUUAGCCUUUUUACAACCUAUACAUCGACUACAAAUUCGCUCAACAUCACUUUUCAUCUUAGGCCAAUAAAAAUGCUCCUUCAUUACAUCUAAAGUCUUUUGAACCCCAAAGUGUCCCAUUAAUCCACCACUAUGUACUUCUCUUACUAACAAUUCUCGAAUAGAACAAUUAGGAACACAUAACCUAUUUUCCCGAAAUAAAUACCUCUCAUGCCUAAAGAACCUAUCAACCGCCCCCUUAAUGCAUGACAAAUAAAUAUCUGAAAAAUCAACAUCUUUUUCAUAUAAUUCCUUAAUAUGUUCAAACCCAAGUAACUUAGAAUCAAGAGUAGUUAGCAAGACGUACCUUCGAGACAACGCAUCCGCCACCACAUUUUCCUUACCUUGUUUAUACCGAAUGACAUAUGGAAAGGUCUCAAUGAAUUCCAUCCACCAUGCAUGCCUCUUGUUCAAUUUACCUUGUCCUUGCAAGUACUUUAGUGACUCAUGAUCGGUGUGUAUUACGAACUCCUUCGGCCAUAGAUAAUGUUGCCAAGUCUCCAAAGCUCGAACAAGUGCAUAUAGUUCUUUGUCAUAUGUAGGAUAAUUUAAAGCAGCUCUACUCAAUUUCUCGCUAAAGUAUGCAAUAAGCCUCCGAUCCUGCAUUAAAUCUGCUCCAAUCCCUAUUCCUGAUGCAUCACACUCAAUCUCGAAUGUUUUAUCAAAGUUAGGUAAUGCCAAAAUAGGUGCUUCACACAAUCUACCUUUAAUAGUAUUAAAUGCAAGUUCUUAUUCAUCACCCCAAUGAAAACCUACACUCUUUUUAACUACUUCCGUGAGUGGUGCAGUGAUAGUGCUAAAAUCCUUUACAAAUCGCCUAUAAAAACUAGCCAAACCAUGAAAACUCCUAACUUUCAUUAUGCUUUUAGGUGUCGGCCAAUCUCUAAUAGCUUUUAUCUUUUCAUCGUCUACUUCUACCCCACUAGCACUAACCACAAAUCCAAGAAAUAUAACUCUAUUCAUACAAAAUGUACAUUUUUUAAGAUUAGCAUAGAGUUGUUCUUUCCUUAAAAUAAUUAGCACACAUUUUAAAUGUUCCAAAUGCUCUCCUAGGUCUUUGCUAUAGAUUAAUAUGUCGUCAAAAUAAACCACAACAAAUUUUUCUAUAAAAGCACGUAAAACAUGAUUCAUUAAACGCAUAAAAGUGUUAGGUGCAUUUGUGAGUCCAAACGGCAUAACCAACCAUUCAUAUAAACCAUAUUUAGUUUUAAAAGCCGUUUUCCAUUCAUCACCCUCCCGCAUACGAAUUUGAUGAUACCCGCUUUUUAAAUCAAUUUUAGAAAAUAUGCAAGAACCAUGUAAUUCAUCAAGCAUGUCAUCUAACCUAGGUAUAGGGUGACGAUACUUUACCGUUAUGUUGUUGAUAGCCCUACAAUUCACGCACAUUCGCCAUGUUCCAUCCUUUUUUGGUACAAGUAAAACCGGUACCGCACAAGGACUCAUGCUUUCCCUCACGUAUCCUUUACUCAUCAACUCUUCCACUUGCCUUUGAAACUCCUUAGUCUCGUUGGGAUUAUUUCGAUAAGCCGGUCGAUUUGGAAUGACAGCUCCGGGUAUGAAGUCAAUUUGAUGUUCAAUGCCUCGAAUAGACGGCAAUCCACUUGGUGCAUCCUCCGAAAAUAUAUCGUCGAAUUCCUGCAACAAAGACUUAGCCAAACUAGGGAGGGGUGGGUUAGUUUCCUCAAAAUUGAGGAGUGAUUCCUUAUAAAUGAACAAGAUCAUCUCUUUUCUCUCAACUACCGCCAUCCUCAAAUCACUCUCUUUUGCAAAGAAAUUCGCUCGUGUUUUCUCUCUUCUCUCGGGGCACUCUCUUUCAUUUCUCUCUUGUGAUUGCUUUCUCUUUUCCUCUCUAAUGGCUAUCUCAACAUUUUCUCUCUUUUUCUCCAACUCACUAUUUGCUCUCAUUUUUUUCUAACUCUUUUGCUCUCCUCUCUUCCUCACUUCUCAAUUUUAAUUGGUCCUCAUAGACUUGCGUCGGUGUUAAUGGCACAAAAGUAAUGGUCCUUCCAUCCUUAAUGAAACUAUAUCAAUUUUUGUACCCAUCAUGCAUAGCUUUCCUAUCGUAUUGCCAUGGUCGCCCCAAUAAAAUAUGUCCUGCUUGCAUUGGCACCACAUCACACACUAACUCGUCCCUAUAACUCCCAAUUGACAAAUUAAGUAACACCCUUCGAUUCACCCUCACCUUGCCACUCUCAUUCAACCAUUGCAAUUUAUAAGGUCUCAGGUGUCUUAACAAUGUUAAACCCAAUUUUUCUACAAGAGAUACGCUAGCUACAUUAGUGCAACUACCACCAUCAAUUAUAACACUACAUACCGUAUUGUUGACGUGGCAUCGAGUGUGGAAAAUGUUCUCCGUUGCAACUCCAAGUCAUCCGCUUUGACGUGAGUAGUGAGAGCUCGCUUUGUGACUAGUAGAUCCCCAACCGGUCCUUCAAAUUUUUCUUCUUCAUUAACACCCGUUCCCAAACACCUAAAACAUUUGAUGUCCCAAUUGCGCGACGGUUGUGCCUCCGGUUUUGAUAUUGAUUUGCUAGCGUUUUCAUCUUUGCCCUUUUGCCAAUCAUUUUUACCUCUAGGUGUAGCCCCGUUUUUAUUGUUAUCAUCCCACUUCGAUUUCCAUGUUAGAUUAGGAGUCGAAGUACCUAACGGUUGCCUAGAUGUCCCCUUCCUCUUCAAUUGCCUCUCGACCUUCAUUGCCACAUGUAACAUGUCCUCGAUUUCCACAUAAUGUUGCAACUCUACAAUGUUUGCAAUAUCCCGAUUUAACCCAUUCAAGAACCGUGCCAUGGUAGCUUCCCGAUCUUCCUCCACAUUAGCCCGAAUCGUAAAAAUUUCCAUCUCCUUGUGAUAAUCCUCUACGCUUUUCGAUCCUUGGUACAAACCCUAUAAUUUUUGAUGGAUUUCCCUAUAAUAGUGACUCGGAACAAACCUCAUCCUCAUCAACAUCUUCAACUCAUCCCAAGUGCUAAUUGGCCUUUCUCGACCCCUACGCCGUGAUGUCAGUACUUGAUCCCACCAAGAUAUCGCGUAAUCCACAAAUUCAAGCACCGCCAAUUUUAUCUUUUUCUCCUCCGAAUAAUUAUAGCACUCGAAAAUCAUCUCAACCUUCCUUUCCCAAUCUAAAUAUGCUUCCGGAUCGCUUUUCCCCUUAAAUUGCGGAAUAGUCAUUUUAAUACUUCCCAAAUUUCCAUCUACUUCAUCUCCCAAGUUAUUUCUACCCCGUCUUUCCAUCCUAUCGCCCCUAUGCCUCGCUCGACCCAUAUCAAUGUCAUUUUCAUCAAAAUCAUCCACAUCACUAUGAUACUCAUCCCGCCUUCCUCUCCUAGAUUAACGCCUACCCGGCCCCCUAGCAUUAGACAUCUCCACUUGUCCCCGGCUAAGAUUAGCAAUUGUAGUACCCAUUUGUGCCAUUCAUUCCCCUUGCCUAUCUACCUUCUCCCUAACAUCACCAAGUACCCUUUCAAACCUCCUUAUCAUGUCCUCCGAUGCAUUGUUGUCAUUACCAUUUCGGCUUGAGUUAGAACCUUCUCUUUCCGACAUCAUAUCACACAAUUUUUUUAUGCCUCACAAAGAUUUCACUCGGAAAACACUCACUAUGGCUUUUUCCCUCUAUUAAACUCACCACUCAGCCUUUUACCACUCAAAGUCUCCCUCCAAGCACUUCAAAGAACCAAGUGAACUAAAUCAAUUGUUUUACCGGCAAUUCAAGCAAACCGAAUAUUAAUCAAAGACCACGAGACUUAAAGGACUUGAAUAAGUGGAAUAGAUGAAUGUUUUGACACGAAUAUGUGAAUAGACUCAAAGAAGAAUGAAAGACUCGAACCCAAUUGAAUAUCCCAAAAAUCAAACACAAUGUAGGAAUUGUUGUUGGUAGAAAAAAAACACAAAAUCAAACAAUGAUAUCAAAUUUUUUUUUAUAUAUAUAUAUUUUUUUUGUUUUUUGUGAACAAUACUUCAAGAUGAACAGUACCUCGAAUGUACAGUAAACCUUUUUUUUUUCGUUUUUGUACUUUUUUUUUUAUUACUCCUUGAUGAAAGAAGGUGAGUAAACUACCAACAACUCAACAAAACGAUGAAAAGAAAACAAGAAUGAAGAAAAACAAAAAAAGAAAAAUUAACGACCCAAACAAAUAAAGAAAAGAUAUAACCUUCAAUUAAUUUGGAGCCAAAGCUCUGAUACCAACUGAUGCGAACCCCGUAGCAACGUUGACUACGAAACCCACAACGAGAUUGACGAACCCAAGAAAGCCAAAUUAAUCCAAGAGUUUAGGAUUAGCCCAAAAGAAAGUCGAACCAAAAAACCCAACAAGAACGACGCUUGAAAGACCCCUUGAUCACGCAAUCCAAGAAUUAUAUCCGGUUGUUAGAACACCAAAAGUUAACACUUGAUAAGUUCGAAAUUGUUCAAUGAAGAACGAUGAAGAGAAGACAAAACGUUUCACUUUUAAUUCAAUAUCAAUAAUGUCAAAGGUUUUUUAACAAUUGACUGGAAACUCCUAUUUAUACUAAACCUAAAAAUUAGGUAAAAAUUGUGCAAAAGUCGAGUAUAAUCUCCAAAAUAUGGAAAAGAAUCAAAAUCUAACAACAUAUAGAAAAUUGCCAAAAUUGAAAAAUUCGCCAAAUUUUUGGCCUGUGCGGCCGCAUGGUUCAACUGAAAUUGCACUUUUUGUUUUUGGUAUGCAUUUGUGUGGCCGCAUGUGGUUUUGCCUGUGCGGCCGCAUGGUGUUGUUUUCAGCCUCCACUUUCAUCGCUUGAUAACAAAUUGAUCCAAGUUGAUUCGGCCUUCGACCCAAACAUGAAAGUUGCUCCAUUUUGAGUCCCGAACAUGGUUCCAUCAAUGGUUUCUUGAACGAGCAAUCACAUCGCUUGUUUCACUAGCUUUGUCCUUGAUCACAUCAUUAGUCCGCUAUCGACUAUCAACGGGUCUCGUUUCACACUUGCCUUCGUCGGGUUCGACUCCUGGAUCAUAUCAGGGAGUAUAACAAGCAAUUCUAUAUGUUCCCUAUACAGAGUUACCCUGCACAUUUAUAUGAUACCAAUCUAACGAUCUGUUCAAUUCCAGAUAAAAGCUAAUAGGGCUAAUGUCAUACUUCAAAGGAAUCGGAUUGGAAAACUACCUAACACGUCACUUUUCAACUCACCUAAAAUGUCUUGUCAUCUCCAACCUACAGACAAAUUAAGAUGCAGAGAGUAAUAUGGAGAAAUUUCAAGUAAACAUGUGCCCACAGGAUGUCUGCACAUCAAUGCAAUAGCUGGUGCGAGCAUUUAAGCAACAGCAUGCAGUGCAAAAGAACUCUCUACACUUUCAAAUUUGUGCCAAUAUCUAUUUCAUAGAAUGAUGUAUACUGUAAUAAUGUUCCAAUUUUGGUGGUGCGCAAUGAGUAACAACAAUGUUCCAUGUAUCCAUAAUGAACUAUAUAGUUUAAAAGAUCAAACACAAGCACAGCUAUAUCAUAUAUUGAAGACAUUCAGUUAGUUGGCACCUUAGAGACUUCUUACAUGAUAAUUUUGUGUAAUAGAGUUGUAUUAUAUCCAAAUUUAUACAUUUUUCAAUCAAUCCUCCCAAGUAUUUAAAUGCAAUUAAAUGCUAUAAAAAGUUUGUCAACAUGUUUUUGUUGAAAUUACUAUAUUCCUAAGUAUUUUAUGUUCAUAUUUCUUUAUAGCUAAUAACUCGUUCCAAAUAAAAUUUAUUUUUCUAUUAUUUAUAUAAUAGAAGUACAUCAGUAAUCUUCUACACAUACACCUAUUACUGUAGCUUCUUCUAUCUCUACUUCACAUAUUCGUUCAUUAUCCUAGGAUAACUUAUUAAAUCAUGUGGUCCAUGAUGGGGAUGUCCACCAGUAUAUUGUAGAAAAGAAAAUGCUCAAUCAGAAGAGUAAGUAUACCCAAAUGGUUGACCCACCAUGAUUCUGCAUUUCAAUAAUAUACCCCAUCCAACAAUAAUAGAAACCCAAAAUUUCUUAGACUCAAUUGUGAAUUUUAAGAAAAUUGAGCUAAUUGGGUAAAUAGCAGUUAUAUAAUUUAGGAAAAUAAAAUGGGGAAAAUAAGGAGUAGAACCAGCAAAACCAGAAAGAAAAGAGGGAGAAGAAGGCAAUAAAAUUACCUUCAGCUGAAUAGGGUUACAAUUGUGAGUUACGCUGGAGGACAAGCUGCAGCUAGGAUCCUGACAGUGACAAUUUUUCACAAAUCUUGUUGACUGCUCCAACAAGUUCAGCCAAUUCUAGUUGAAAUUGAGGGUGACCCAUGGUAGAACUAGAUGCGCCUGGUUGAAAGGAAUGUUGUGGUGGUGCUCCACGAUUGAGAGGGUGGCUGGAUGUGGAAGCAACUGGGAAAAACGUGACUGCGAUCACAGUUUUGGAUGGGAAUUGGUGUUGUUUCUGGCGGUCUGUGGGUAGACAAUGGUUGGAGGUUGUAGAGGGAGGUAAAGAGGUGCCGUGGUAUGUGGGUCCAAUGGCUUAGGUGGCGAGUGGUGGUUGAUAUUGAUGGAAGGAGGUGGCAAAUUGUAGCUCAAGAAAAAGAAAGAAUUUUGGAGAAAAU
rnacentral:lncRNA from 1 species